rnacentral:rRNA from 1 species
UUUACGGAGAGUUUGAUCCUGGCUCAGGACGAACGCUGGCGGCGUGCUUAACACAUGCAAGUCGAACGAUGAUCCAGAGCUUGCUUUGGUGAUUAGUGGCGAACGGGUGAGUAACACGUGAGUAACCUGCCCUUGACUCUGGGAUAAGCACUGGAAACGGUGUCUAAUACCGGAUACGACCUUUGACGGCAUCGUCUAUUGGUGGAAAGAAUUUUGGUCAAGGAUGGACUCGCGGCCUAUCAGGUUGUUGGUGAGGUAAUGGCUCACCAAGCCUACGACGGGUAGCCGGCCUGAGAGGGUGACCGGCCACACUGGGACUGAGACACGGCCCAGACUCCUACGGGAGGCAGCAGUGGGGAAUAUUGCACAAUGGGCGAAAGCCUGAUGCAGCAACGCCGCGUGAGGGAUGACGGCCUUCGGGUUGUAAACCUCUUUUAGUAAGGAAGAAGAACUUCGGUUUGACGGUACUUGCAGAAAAAGCACCGGCUAACUACGUGCCAGCAGCCGCGGUAAUACGUAGGGUGCAAGCGUUGUCCGGAAUUAUUGGGCGUAAAGAGCUCGUAGGCGGUUUGUCGCGUCUGCUGUGAAAACUGGAGGCUCAACCUCCAGCCUGCAGUGGGUACGGGCAGACUAGAGUGCGGUAGGGGAGAUUGGAAUUCCUGGUGUAGCGGUGGAAUGCGCAGAUAUCAGGAGGAACACCGAUGGCGAAGGCAGAUCUCUGGGCCGUAACUGACGCUGAGGAGCGAAAGCAUGGGGAGCGAACAGGAUUAGAUACCCUGGUAGUCCAUGCCGUAAACGUUGGGAACUAGAUGUAGGGGCCAUUCCACGGUUUCUGUGUCGCAGCUAACGCAUUAAGUUCCCCGCCUGGGGAGUACGGCCGCAAGGCUAAAACUCAAAGGAAUUGACGGGGGCCCGCACAAGCGGCGGAGCAUGCGGAUUAAUUCGAUGCAACGCGAAGAACCUUACCAAGGCUUGACAUAUACCGGAAACCUGCAGAAAUGUAGGCCCCGCAAGGUCGGUAUACAGGUGGUGCAUGGUUGUCGUCAGCUCGUGUCGUGAGAUGUUGGGUUAAGUCCCGCAACGAGCGCAACCCUCGUUCUAUGUUGCCAGCACGUUAUGGUGGGAACUCAUAGGAGACUGCCGGGGUCAACUCGGAGGAAGGUGGGGAUGACGUCAAAUCAUCAUGCCCCUUAUGUCUUGGGCUUCACGCAUGCUACAAUGGCCGGUACAAAGGGCUGCAAUACCGUAAGGUGGAGCGAAUCCCAAAAAGCCGGUCUCAGUUCGGAUUGAGGUCUGCAACUCGACCUCAUGAAGUCGGAGUCGCUAGUAAUCGCAGAUCAGCAACGCUGCGGUGAAUACGUUCCCGGGCCUUGUACACACCGCCCGUCAAGUCAUGAAAGUCGGUAACACCCAACGCCAGUGGCCUAACCCGUAAGGGAGGGAGCUGUCUAAGGUGGGAUCGGUGAUUAGGACUAAGUCGUAACAAGGUAGCCGUACCGGAAGGUGCGGCUGGAUCACCUCCUUU